AUUGAACGCUGGCGGAAUGCUUUACACAUGCAAGUCGAACGGCAGCACGGACUUCGGUCUGGUGGCGAGUGGCGAACGGGUGAGUAAUACAUCGGAACGUGCCCAGUCGUGGGGGAUAACGUAGCGAAAGCUACGCUAAUACCGCAUACGAUCUAAGGAUGAAAGCGGGGGAUCGCAAGACCUCGCGCGAUUGGAGCGGCCGAGGGCAUAUUAGGUAGUGGGUGGGGUAAAGGCCUACAAAGCCGACGAUCUGUAGCUGGUCUGAGAGGACGACCAGCCACACUGGGACUGAGACACGGCCCAGACUCCUACGGGAGGCAGCAGUGGGGAAUUUUGGACAAUGGGCGCAAGCCUGAUCCAGCCAUUCCGCGUGCAGGAUGAAGGCCCUCGGGUUGUAAACUGCUUUUGUACGGAACGAAAAGGCUCUGGUUAAUACCCGGGGCUCAUGACGGUACCGUAAGAAUAAGCACCGGCUAACUACGUGCCAGCCGCCGCUGUAA
rnacentral:rRNA from 1 species